rnacentral:rRNA from 1 species
UACGAAGAAGGCUAGCGUUGUUCGGAAUUACUAAACGUAAAGCGCACAUAGGCGAUGAUCCAUGUCAGAGGUGAAAGCCCGGGGCUCAACUCCGGAAUUACCUUUGAAACGAGAUCGCUAGAGUCCGAGAGAGGAUAACGGAAUUCCUAGUAUAAAGGUGAAAUUCGUAGAUAUUAGGAAGAACACCGGUGGCGAAGACAGCCAUCUGGCUCGGUACUGACGCUCAAACGCGAAAGCGUAAAGAGCAAACAAG